rnacentral:rRNA from 1 species
GACGAACGCUGGCGGUGUGCCUAAUGCAUGCAAGUCGCACGCAGGGUGCUUGCACCGCUGCGUGGCGCACGGCUGAGGAACACGUGGGUACCAACCCUGGAGUGGGGGAUACCCCGUCGAAAGACGGGACAAUCCCGCAUACGAUCCGAAAGGAUGAAAGCGGUAACGCGCUCUGGGACGGGCCUGCGGCCCAUCAGGUAGUUGGUGUGGUAACGGCACACCAAGCCGAUGACGGGUCCCUGGUCUGAGAGGACGACCAGGCAGACUGGGACUGAGGCACGGCCCAGACUCCUACGGGAGGCAGCAGCAAGGAAUUUUCCCAAUGGGCUGACGCGUGAGGGAGCAACGCCGCGUGCAGGACGACGGCCUUCGGGUUGUAAACUGCUUUUGGGGGGGGCGAUGAUGACGGUACCCCUCGAAUAAGCCCCGGCUAACUCCGUGCCAGCAGCCGCAGUAACAC